UGGUCAAAGUGGUUGUGACAGG
rnacentral:miRNA from 9 species